ACCUGGGUGUGGUGGCAUGUGCCUGUAAUCCCAGCUAUUUAGGAGGCUGAGGCAGGAGAACUGCUUGAACCUGGGAGGCGGAGGUUGCAGUGAGCCGAGAUUGCACCACUGCACUCCAACCUGUGCAACACAGUGAGGCUGUUUCUCAAAAAAAGAAAAAAAAAAUCAUUUGGAACCUUGUUUUAAGAAUAUGGGGCUAUUUAGGCUUUCUAUUUCUGUGUGUGUAUUUUAUUUUAUUUUUAUUUUUAUUUAUUUAUUUUUUUGAAAUAGGGUCUUCUCUGUUGCCAGGCUGGAGUGCAGUGCUGCAGUCAUGGCUCACUGUAGUGUCAAUCUCCUGAGCUCAGGAAAACUAGACAAUCCACCAGCCCAGGAGGGGACAAGCAGGCUUAAUCCCCCUCCUCGUCAUCUCUGGCUCCAGCCCCACCCUGGCCCUUCCUGGCAUUCUUCCUCUUCACGUGGCUGGGGUGGCCACCCCAAUAGGGAGGCAGAGGGAGAAGUCCAUGUGCUUCUGGGAAUCCAGGCGGACAGUGAAGAACAGGAUAUUUACCACCUGCUCACGGAUAUGAUACUGUUGGAUCAGCACACGAGCGUGGCGGAUGGACUUAAGCCAAG
rnacentral:antisense_RNA from 1 species